AGAGUUUGAUCCUGGCUCAGGACGAACGCUGGCGGCGUGGAUUAGGCAUGCAAGCCGAACGAGAAAUCGAGCUUCGGCUCGAUGGAAAGUGGCGAAAGGGUGAGUAACGCGUGGGUAAUUUGCCUCUGAGAUGGGGAUAACAGUCUGAAAAGACUGCUAAUACCAAAUACGAUUCGGUUGACUUUGGUCGGCUGAAUGAAAGGUGGCUUCGGCUGCCGCUCGGAGAUAAGCCCGCGUCCUAUUAGUUUGUUGGUGAGGUAAUGGCUCACCAAGGCGACGAUGGGUAGCUGGUCUGAGAGGAUGAUCAGCCACAUUGGGACUGAGACACUGCCCAAACUCCUACGGGAGGCUGCAGUCGAGAGUAUUUCGCAAUGGGGGAAACCCUGACGAUGCGACGCCGCGUGGGGGAUGAAGGCCUUCGGGUUGUAAACCUCUGUGUUACGGGAUGAAUUGAGCGUUGCUGAUAACGCAGCGUUUUUGACGUUACCGUAGUAGAAAGCCCCAGCUAACUACGUGCCAGCAGCUGCGGUAAUACGUAGGGGGCAAGCGUUGUCCGGAAUCACUGGGCGUAAAGCGCGCGCAGGCGGUGGAGUAAGUCAGACGUGAAAGGGUUCGGCUCAACCGAGCCAUUGCGUUUGAUACUACUUCGCUUGAGUCUAGAAGAGGAAAGUGGAAUGUAUGGUGUAGCGGUGGAAUGCUUAGAUAUCAUAUAGAACACCCGUGGCGAAGGCGGCUUUCUGGUCUAAGACUGACGCUCAUGCGCGAAAGUUUGGGGAGCAACCGGGAUUAGAUACCCCGCUAGUCCUUACUGUAAACGAUGGGUACUAAGUGUAGGGGGUGUUGAUUCCCUCUGUGCUGUAGCUAACGCAUUAAGUACCCCGCCUGGGGAGUACGGCCGCAAGGUUAAAACUCAAGGUAAUUGACGGGGGGCCGCACAAGCGGUGGAGCAUGUCGCUUAAUUCGACGCAACGCGAAGAACCUUAUCCAGGGCUUGACAUCGCAGUGACCGCUAUAGAAAUAUAGUUUUCCUUCGGGACACUAUGACAGGUGCUGCAUGGCUGUCGUCAGCUCGUG
rnacentral:rRNA from 1 species